rnacentral:tRNA from 1 species
GGGCAUGUGUUGGAAUUGGUAUACAAGCACGGCUUAGAACCGUGUCCCGAAAGGGAUGUGGGUUCGACUCCCACCAUGCCCACCA